rnacentral:rRNA from 1 species
GGUAGGUCCCGCCUGCCCAGUGACUUUUAGUUCAACGGCCGCGGUAUAUUGACCGUGCAAAGGUAGCGUAAUCACUUGUCUUUUAAAUGAAGACCCGUAUGAAUGGCACCACGAGGGCUUAGCUGUCUCCUUUUUCCAGUCAAUGAAAUUGAUCUCCCCGUGCAGAAGCGGGGAUAAUAACAUAAGACGAGAAGACCCUGUGGAGCUUUAGACACUAAGACAGCCCAUCCUGCUACUCUCCUUAAAUAAUCGGCCUAAACAAAUGACCCCUGUCCAAAUGUCUUCGGUUGGGGCGACCAUGGGGAAAUACAAAACCCCCACGCGGAAUGAGAGAACACCUAUACUUUAACCCCUCCCUCUCAAAACAAAGAGUCACAGCUCUAAGGAACAGAACUUCUGACCGAACAUGAUCCGGGUAAUACCGAUCAACGGACCAAGUUACCCCAGGGAUAACAGCGCAAUCCUCUUCUAGAGUCCAUAUCGACAAGAGGGUUUACGACCUCGAUGUUGGAUCAGGACAUCCUAAUGGUGCAGCCGCUAUUAAGGGUUCGUUUGUUCAACGAUUAAAGUCCUACGUGAUUGUUUUCUAACACCGCGGGG